rnacentral:rRNA from 1 species
UGGGGAAUAUUGCACAAUGGGCGCAAGCCUGAUGCAGCGACGCCGCGUGAGUGAAGAAGUAUUUCGGUAUGUAAAGCUCUAUCAGCAGGGAAGAAAAUGACGGUACCUGACUAAGAAGCCCCGGCUAACUACGUGCCAGCAGCCGCGGUAAUACGUAGGGGGCAAGCGUUAUCCGGAUUUACUGGGUGUAAAGGGAGCGUAGACGGAAUGGCAAGUCUGAUGUGAAAGGCGGGGGCUCAACCCCUGGACUGCAUUGGAAACUGUUAUUCUUGAGUGCCGGAGAGGUAAGCGGAAUUCCUAGUGUAGCGGUGAAAUGCGUAGAUAUUAGGAGGAACACCAGUGGCGAAGGCGGCUUACUGGACGGUAACUGACGUUGAGGCUCGAAAAGCGUGGGGAGCAAACAGGAUUAGAUACCC